AGUCCCGCCAGGCUGGGGACAAGGCACAGCAGCGUCCUCUCGGCCUCUCCCAGGCCCCAAUUCGACACAACCAUUCCCCGUCCCCAGCCCCCGGACGAGGAGGGGGUGCAGCCCCUCCACCCCGCCCCGUCGCCGCCCCUAGCCCGACCUUUUUGUCCCAGAUUUGCAGAGGCUUGCUGCCGAUGCUGUAGAGGAUGGAGAGGAAGCCGCUCUGGAACGUGUUUUUGAACAUCUCGCCGGCGGCCUUCUCCUAAGCCGCCCCCGGAGCCGACCUAGGCCCCGGAGUAGAUACAGGCACCGAGCGUCGAGGGCACAGCAGCAGGCCGGCCCUGUUCCGAAGAAGGGUGGUUGAGCUCCUGGCCUCCGGAUCUGCAGCCACUGAUGGCCGGACUCGGACGCGGCAACGCUAAGUCCGCGAUCUUCAGCUCCUAAGCUGCGAGCUCAGAACGGAAACCACAGCAACUACCGUCCGCGCCGCGGUAUUUCCCCGCCUUCAAUGGAGGCGGAGGGCCGCCCGUUGCUUAAAAUGAAUCCCUCCGCCCAUCUGAGCCCGCCCCCCGGGAGCGCGGGGCCCAAUCCCGUUACAAGGACCACGGACUUCCGUUUCGUUCCGCCUGUAAGUCCCGCCUGGUCCCGCCUCCUCCUGAAAAGAGCUCAGUUGUCAAGGAACUAUUUUUCUUGCCGUCGUCCCAGAGAUGCCUUUGGAAAAGCGGAAGGGCACGGAGGGUUCUGGAGUUCGUUGCUGGCACCUGCGUGGUGUCAUGAGAACGUGGCGGGGCGAUUCACACUACAAGGAAUACUAAAGGACGUUCUCCACAUUGAAGGAAAAUGAUCUAAAGAGAAACAGAUCUGUAAGAAGAAAUGAAGAGCACUGGUAAAGCCUAGCUUCACCUUCUGCAAUGUGUGGAAACAGACUGAGGUCCUCACCAGAAGCAAAUGCUAGCACCAUGCUUCUUGGAGACCCUGCAGAACUGUCCAGCAUAGCAAGUGGGUGGUGAGAUGCCGGCAGUGGAAUUCUAGAAGCAGUGCCUCCCAGAACAGCACUACAGUACUGAGGAAGGACUAUGCACCUGGGAAGCUGUCACACACACAAAAUCAUUUCAUGAAAACUUUCUUUGGGUAAAGGAAGGGUUCCACUGCGUAGUAUUUGAUUUGAGAAGGGCUGCAUGGUGCAUGAGGUUAAGAAAGAAAUGACUAUAUUUGCCUUUAAACACUUCAGCUGAUUCCAAGCACCCAACUUCAGAGGCUCAGUGAGAAGAAAGCACACUAAUUAAAGAAAGCACAUUAAUUAAAGAUACCACCACCUGCCAAAUAAUAGCAUGUGCUGCAAGGAAUGGGGCUAGGGAGAGUGUUUCACAAAUGCAGAGCACCAGGCCACAAGGUUAAAGUCAUGCACUAAAACAGUCAAUCCCAAGAGGCAGGUGUCUGAGUGGCGCGACUCAGAAGCAAGUACAUAAAAACGGAACACUCCCAACAGGACACCACUCUAGCCCCACUUCUGCCAAAGGAAAGUUUUCACAUCAAGGUGUAACACACAUCUUUGCAAUUCAAGGUUUAUCCCUCCCCUCUCCCCCAAAGAGACAGGAAAUACAAGUUAAGGUCCUCAUAGCAAUGGUUUGUCUCCCACUUGGGAAGGCUGGUUAUUGUCAACAUUUUUAUUUAAGAAAACAGGAUUUAACAUGGCAUUUUUCUUCCCUCUAAGGGCAGCAGCACAUAAAUCAUACAUCAGUCAUCCAGUGAUACAAAGAGGUGGCCAAUUGUGUCUGAAGUAGUCACUUGUAAAGGAUCACAACCCAGGCAGUGUUGCUUUUCUGCAAACAGAAGGAAACAGAAGGCUCCAUGGUCCUUGAAGAUUAUCCAAGUUUUCCACUAGUUGUCAAGAUUUCUGUCCCAACCUCUUAGUCACCAUUUACAGCAAGAAGAGCCAGCAAGUGAAAAACUGUUAAUUUAUUGAUUCAAAGUUGUUUUUUUUCUUUUUAAAAAACAAUCCCCAAUACAUGCAGUUCAGGGUUAAGUAUCACAUUUGUAGCACAUUGUUGAGUCUCAAAACAAAAAUAUGCAUCACCUGUAUAAUCCCAUCACAUCUUUUUCCAGCCUCUACAAUACCUAGUUGGGGGUGUUUUCAUUUAUACAUCCACAUAGCUCAGAAGCAUGUUAUUAACGGUUGAUCUGGCCCGAUGCUUCUCCGCCACCUCCCCUGCCCUGGUCUCCACCUCGGGGUUAUUUUUUUCUAAAGGCAGGAUGUUACUCAGUCUUAAUUUAUUAAGAUCACUGACAAACUUUGGCUUCUUGUGUGCUCAUGUGGUCCCUGCUUUUGCUUUCGGAAGGGUUUAUAUUGAAACGACUGUGACUCUGAUCGGUUAUUAUCCCCUCAUUUUUUGUAGGAAAUAAGUUUGCUUGUUUCUGUGGGUGCUCACACAGUAACACAGGUUCCUAAAGUAACCAUUUAAUCUGAACUGGUAUUAAAGGAAACUGUUAACCAGG
rnacentral:lncRNA from 1 species